GUUUAAAUAGAGAAAGUGAAACAACAGCGUUUUGAAUUUGUACUGACAAACGUAAAACGUUACUAUAAAUUAAGUACAGCUCAAACUGCCAGAAAAGACAUGAAGGGUUUUUCAAGAAAAGGUUUUGUUCUUCUUAUCUGUGUUUCUCUUAUACUGGAUCAGAAUGUGGCUUGGCGGUGAGUGUUUUAGGAGAAAGAUUGUGAGAAACCAUUUUGUAAUACGCAUGGC